rnacentral:rRNA from 1 species
AUUGAACGCUGGCGGCAUGCCUUACACAUGCAAGUCGAACGGUAACAGGCCGCAAGGUGCUGACGAGUGGCGAACGGGUGAGUAAUGCAUCGGAACGUGCCCAGUCGUGGGGGAUAACUGCUCGAAAGAGCAGCUAAUACCGCAUACGACCUGAGGGUGAAGGCGGGGGACCGUAAGGCCUCGCGCGCUUGGAGCGGCCGAGGUCAGAUUAGGUAGUUGGUGGGGUAAAGGCCUACCAAACCGACGAUCUGUAGUUGGUCUGAGAGGACGACCAGCCACACUGGGACUGAGACAGGGCCCAGACACCGACGGGAGGCAGCAGUGGGGAAUUUUGGACAAUGGGGGCAACCCUGAUCCAGCAAUGCCGCAUGCAGGAAGAAGGCCUUCGGGUUGUAAACUGCGUUUGUCAGGGAAGAAAUCCUGUGGGUUAAUACCUCGUGGGGAUGACGGUACCUGAAGAAUAAGCACCGGCUAACUACGUGCCAGCCGCCGCGGUAAUAC